UACGGGGGGUGCGAGCGUUGUCCGGAAUCACUGGGCGUAAAGGGCGCGUAGGUGGUCUUAUAAGUGUGUGGUGAAAGCCCGGGGCUCAACCCCGGGUCGGCCGUGCCGACUGUAAGACUAGAGUGCUGUAGGGGCAGGCGGAAUUCCGGGUGUAGCGGUGGAAUGCGUAGAGAUCCGGAGGAAGACCGGUGGCGAAGGCGGCCUGCUGGGCAGUUACUGACACUGAGGCGCGACAGCGUGGGGAGCAAACAGG
rnacentral:rRNA from 1 species